AACGAACGCUGGCGGCAUGCCUAACACAUGCAAGUCGAACGAGACGGUCGGGUCUAGGGGCGCACGGGGGGGGAAGGCGGGGGAACCUGCCCGUAGGUUCGGAAUAACUCCCCGAAAGGGGUGCUAAUACCGGAGAAUGUCUUAGGGCCAAAGAGUUAUCGCCUCUGGCUGGGCCCGGGUUGGAUUAGUUGGUUGGGAGGGUAAUAGCGUACCAAGGCGACGAUGCCUAGCUGGUCUGAGAGGAUGAUCAGCCACACUGGGACUGAGCCACGGCCCAGACGCCUACGGGAGGCAGCAGUGUGGAAUAUUGGACGCUGGGCGCAGGCCUGAUCCAGCAAUGCCGCGUGAGUGAUGAAGGCCUUAGGGUUGUAAAGCUCUUUUACCCGGGAUGAUAAUGACGGUACCGGGAGAAUAAGCUCCGGCUAACUCCGUG
rnacentral:rRNA from 1 species